rnacentral:sRNA from 1 species
UUAUACAAGUCGCGUUUUGCCUCGAUGG